GACAGGUUCAAACAAUCAAAUAAUAAUAAACAACUGCUACUACAAAUUAGAGACAGACGUCGGAACGGAUAACUAACGAUACAGAAAGAAAGAAGAAGAAUAUUAAUCAAAACAAGAAUAAUAAUGACCAAACAGAAAUCAAACACAUUUCUUUUGACCGAAAAGCUUCAAUCCUGAUAAACCACUUCCUGAACAAAGACCUCGUUGGACCAUCGUAACAGAUCGAAACAUAUUAAUCACUUGAAUCCUGACUGGUUUUUUGAUUACCCCUUCAACCACUCCUUGACCUACGCCUUGGAUACCUCGAAUUUCCUGCUGUGAUACCCUUCCCUGGACCAUUUGUGUCUACGCCUUGGAUACCUCGAAUUCCCUGCUGUGAUACCCUUCCCUGGACCAUCCUCAUCGCCAUUCUUCCUUGCAAUAUUCCCAGAAAUUGAACCCCCACCUUCAUCCACUUUCCACCCAGUGACUGUGGUAGGAUCUGGGCAAAUACACCCACACCCACGGACUGUGACAUUAAGGAAUUACAUCCACCACUAUUUUUUAUUUAAUUAUUUAUUUUGAGUGCACUCUCUUUUAUUUUGGGGUUUAUGUUUAUUUUGUUAUUUUAAGUUCAGAGAUCUCAAGGGAAUUAUUUAUUGA